AAGAAAUCACACGAGCAUGAUAUAGACAAGCAUACAUAAAGAAAAGAAGAAGAAGAAAAAUCAGCAAUAUAUUUUUGAAAAAAUCCUUUCAGAAACCCUAAAUCAAAGAUAAACGAUUUUGAAAAAGGAAAUUUAGGGAAAACACUUCAAAUGUCAAGUAAAGCAUAGAUACAACAUAGAUCUAAGCCAACAACAGAUAAAGAACCUCGAAUAACUUAGGGCUUUGGAUAAACCCUAUAAAUGAGAAAGGCUUGGAAGAAGAAUUAGAUCCCGAGUUGGAGAGGUCAGGAGUAAGGCUCCUGAAUCUUGAAUAUGCCGGAGCAAAGGCCGGUGGGGCCAUAGAACCAAAGAUCUCAGAAGAUUUAAAAGAGAACUGUUGAUGUCAGGUCUCGAAGCUUCGAAUAACCAUGGUUUAAUGGUAGAGGGUGGUGAUUUUAGACCGUCCAUGGCUUGAGAAGCCAUGGAUUCCGGUGAAAAUUCGGUGGAAUAAGGUAGGAGGAGGCUAGGGUUCUGAAGAGUUUUGAGAGACAAAGGGUUUCAAAGGC
rnacentral:lncRNA from 1 species